rnacentral:rRNA from 1 species
CUACGGAGGGUGCAAGCGUUAAUCGGAAUUACUGGGCGUAAAGGACGCGUAGGCGGGUUGGCAAGUCAGAUGUGAAAUCCUACAGCUUAACUGUAGAACUGCAUUUGAAACUGCUAACCUAGAGUAUGGGAGGGGGAGAUGGAAUUAGUGGUGUAGGGGUAAAAUCCGUAGAUAUCACUAGGAAUACCGAAAGCGAAGGCGAUCUCCUGGAACAUAACUGACGCUAAGGCGUGAAAGCGUGGGGAGCAAACAGGAUUAGAAACCCUAGUAGUCC